UACGGGAGGGGCAAGCGUUAUCCAGCAUUACUGGGCGUAAAGUGUUCGUAGACGGUAAAAUAAGUUAUUUGUUAAAAAUUGAAGCCUAACUUCAAAAAAAGCUUGUAAUACUGUUUUACUUGAGUUUUAUACAGAAGAGUAGAAUUUUACAUGGAAGGAUGAAAUCUACAGAUAUGUAAAGGAAUACCGAUAGCGAAGGCAACUCUUUAGUAAAAACUGACGUUUGAGGGACGAAAAGUACGGGGAGCAAACAGG
rnacentral:rRNA from 1 species